rnacentral:rRNA from 1 species
GGGGAAUAUUGCACAAUGGAGGAAACUCUGAUGCAGCGACGCCGCGUGAGUGAAGAAGUAGUUCGCUAUGUAAAGCUCUAUCAGCAGGGAAGAUAGUGACGGUACCUGACUAAGAAGCUCCGGCUAAAUACGUGCCAGCAGCCGCGGUAAUACGUAUGGAGCAAGCGUUAUCCGGAUUUACUGGGUGUAAAGGGAGUGUAGGUGGCCAGGCAAGUCAGAAGUGAAAGCCCGGGGCUCAACCCCGGGACUGCUUUUGAAACUGCAGGGCUAGAGUGCAGGAGGGGCAAGUGGAAUUCCUAGUGUAGCGGUGAAAUGCGUAGAUAUUAGGAGGAACACCAGUGGCGAAGGCGGCUUGCUGGACUGUAACUGACACUGAGGCUCGAAAGCGUGGGGAGCAAAC